AGAAUAUAAGAACCCGUCUUUUAAGUUUUAACUAAAAAAAAUAAAAACUGGCUCUUAAAUAAGAUAUUUAAAAGCCAGUUUUUAGUUUUUUUAGUUAAAAAUUAAGAAACGGAUUCUUAUAUUCU
rfam:Brassica napus, WGS project CCCW01000000 data, contig: 6641